rnacentral:rRNA from 1 species
UCUGGUGAUUGGAGCGACAUGGAACCACCUGAUCCAUUCCGAACUCAGAAGUGAAACGUGUCAGCGCUGACGAUAGUGGUGGGGCAACCUGCUGCGAAAAUAGGUCAUCGCCAGAA